CACGUAGGGGGCAAGCGUUGUCCGGAUUUAUUGGGCGUAAAGAGCGUGUAGGCGGCUAGGUAGGUCCGUUGUGAAAACUCGAGGCUCAACCUCGAGCUGUCGAUGGAAACCAUCUGGCUAGAGUCCGGAAGAGGAGAGUGGAAUUCCUGGUGUAGCGGUGAAAUGCGCAGAUAUCAGGAAGAACACCCGUGGCGAAGGCGGCUCUCUGGUACGUGACUGACGCUGAGACGCGAAAGCGUGGGGAGCGAACAGG
rnacentral:rRNA from 1 species